GUAACUUGACUUGAGAUUAGAAACUAGUUUUAACUCAUCGAAAUUUAAAAACUAGUUUUAACUCAGCAAUAUAAUGGAAUCUACCUCACGCAAUAUGUAUCGAUGCAAGUUUCUUUUCUUUCUUUCUUUUUUUUUUUUUUUCUUUUUUUAGUUUCUUAAGUGGCGGCUGAUUAGUUUUUUUACAUGUAAAUAGAUGUUUGUUUUCAUUUUACAUUUUUUUUCGGAACAUUAAUUUAUCUCUUGGCAGUAUUAUCGACUUGAUAACGCAGAAUUAGGUAGUGUCAAGCAUCUUCGUUACACGACAGGUAGAUUUGAAAUAAUUUGAGAUGACGAUCAGGUCAACUUUAUCUGCAGGUUGUCAGAUUAUUUGUAUUA
rnacentral:lncRNA from 1 species